CCUACGGGGGGCAGCAGUAGGGAAUAUUGCUCAAUGGGGGAAACCCUGAAGCAGCAACGCCGCGUGCAGGAUGACGGUUUUCGGAUUGUAAACUCCUUUUGUUAGAGAAGAUAAUGACGGUAUCUAAGGAAUAAGCACCGGCUAACUCCGUGUCAGCAGCGGCGGUAAUACGGAGGGUGCAAGCGUUACUCGGAAGCACUGGGCGUAAAGCGCGCGUAGGCGGGAUAGUAAGUCUGAUGUGAAAUCCUAUGGCUUAACCAUAGAACUGCAGUUGAAACUGUUAUGCUAGAGUAUGGGAGAGGUAGGUGGAAUUCGUGGUGUAGGGGUGAAAUGCGUAGAGAUCAAGAGGAACACGCAUUGCGAAGGCGACCUGCGAGAACGUAACUGACGCUGAUGCGCGAAGGCGUGGGGAGCAAACAGGAUUAGAUACCCGAGUAGUC
rnacentral:rRNA from 1 species